CCUACGGGGGGCAGCAGUGGGGAAUAUUGCACAAUGGGCGCAAGCCUGAUGCAGCAACGCCGCGUGAGGGACGACGGCCUUCGGGUUGUAAACCUCUUUUAGCAGGGAAGAAGCGAAAGUGACGGUACCUGCAGAAAAAGCACCGGCUAACUACGUGCCAGCAGCCGCGGUAAUACGUAGGGUGCAAGCGUUGUCCGGAAUUAUUGGGCGUAAAGAGCUCGUAGGCGGUUUGUCGCGUCUGCUGUGAAAACCCGAGGCUCAACCUCGGGCCUGCAGUGGGUACGGGCAGACUAGAGUGCGGUAGGGGAGAUUGGAAUUCCUGGUGUAGCGGUGGAAUGCGCAGAUAUCAGGAGGAACACCGAUGGCGAAGGCAGAUCUCUGGGCCGUAACUGACGCUGAGGAGCGAAAGCGUGGGGAGCGAACAGGAUUAGAUACCCCAGUAGUCC
rnacentral:rRNA from 1 species